GAUGAACGCUGGCGGCGUGCCUAAUACAUGCAAGUCGAGCGAACGGACGAGAAGCUUGCUUCUCUGAUGUUAGCGGCGGACGGGUGAGUAACACGUGGAUAACCUACCUAUAAGACUGGGAUAACUUCGGGAAACCGGAGCUAAUACCGGAUAAUAUUUUGAACCGCAUGGUUCAAAAGUGAAAGACGGUCUUGCUGUCACUUAUAGAUGGAUCCGCGCUGCAUUAGCUAGUUGGUAAGGUAACGGCUUACCAAGGCAACGAUGCAUAGACGACCUGAGAGGGUGAUCGGCCACACUGGAACUGAGACACGGUCCAGACUACUACGGGAGGCAGCAGUAGGGAAUCUUCCGCAAUGGGCGAAAGCCUGACGGAGCAACGCCGCGUGAGUGAUGAAGGUCUUCGGAUCGUAAAACUCUGUUAUUAGGGAAGAACAUAUGUGUAAGUAACUGUGCACAUCUUGACGGUACCUAAUCAGAAAGCCACGGCUAACUACGUG
rnacentral:rRNA from 1 species